GCGGAUGGAGCUGAAGCCAGUCGCAGAUACCAGCUGGCUGCAACUGUUUAUUAAAAACACAGCACUGUGCAAACACGAAAGUGGACGUAUACGGUGUGACGCCUGCCCGGUGCUGGAAGGUUAAUUGAUGGGGUUAUCCGUAAGGAGAAGCUCUUGAUCGAAGCCCCAGUAAACGGCGGCCGUAACUAUAACGGUCCUAAGGUAGCGAAAUUCCUUGUCGGGUAAGUUCCGACCUGCACGAAUGGCGUAAUGAUGGCCAGGCUGUCUCCACCCGAGACUCAGUGAAAUUGAACUCGCUGUGAAGAUGCAGUGUACCCGCGGCAAGACGGAAAGACCCCGUGAACCUUUACUAUAGCUUGACACUGAACAUUGAGCCUUGAUGUGUAGGAUAGGUGGGAGGCUUUGAAGUGUGGACGCCAGUCUGCAUGGAGCCAACCUUGAAAUACCACCCUUUAAUGUUUGAUGUUCUAACGUAGCCCCGUUAUCCGGGGUGCGGACAGUGUCUGGUGGGUAGUUUGACUGGGGCGGUCUCCUCCCAAAGAGUAACGGAGGAGCACGAAGGUUGGCUAAGCAUGGUCGGACAUCAUGCGGUUAGUGCAAAGGCAUAAGCCAGCUUGACUGCGAGAGUGACGGCUCGAGCAGGUACGAAAGUAGGUCUUAGUGAUCCGGUGGUUCUGAAUGGAAGGGCCAUCGCUCAACGGAUAAAAGGUACUCCGGGGAUAACAGGCUGAUACCGCCCAAGAGUUCAUAUCGACGGCGGUGUUUGGCACCUCGAUGUCGGCUCAUCACAUCCUGGGGCUGAAGUAGGUCCCAAGGGUACGGCUGUUCGCCGUUUAAAGUGGUACGCGAGCUGGGUUUAGAACGUCGUGAGACAGUUCGGUCCCUAUCUGCCGUGGGCGUUGGAAGAUUGAAAGGGGCUGCUCCUAGUACGAGAGGACCGGAGUGGACGCACCACUGGUGUUCGGGUUGUCAUGCCAAUGGCAUUGCCCGGUAGCUAAGUGCGGAAGAGAUAACCGCUGAAAGCAUCUAAGCGGGAAACUUGCCUUGAGAUGAGUCUUCCCUGACUCUUUAAGGGUCCUAAAGGAACGUUUAAGACUAAGACGUUGAUAGGUUGGGUGUGUAAGCGUAGCGAUACGUUGAGCUAACCAAUACUAAUGAACCGUGAGGCUUAACCUG
rnacentral:rRNA from 1 species